rnacentral:rRNA from 1 species
GACGAACGCUGGCGGCGUGCUUAACACAUGCAAGUCGAACGGAAAGGCCCUGCUUUUGUGGGGUGCUCGAGUGGCGAACGGGUGAGUAACACGUGAGUAACCUGCCCUUGACUUUGGGAUAACUUCAGGAAACUGGGGCUAAUACCGGAUAGGAGCUCCUGCUGCAUGGUGGGGGUUGGAAAGUUUCGGCGGUUGGGGAUGGACUCGCGGCUUAUCAGCUUGUUGGUGGGGUAGUGGCUUACCAAGGCUUUGACGGGUAGCCGGCCUGAGAGGGUGACCGGCGACAUUGGGACUGAGAUACGGCCCAGACUCCUACGGGAGGCAGCAGUGGGGAAUAUUGCACAAUGGGCGGAAGCCUGAUGCGGCGACGCCGCGUGCGGGAUGACGGCCUUCGGGUUGUGAACCGCAUUCGCCUGUGACGAAGCGUGAGUGACGGUAAUGGGUAAAGAAGCACCGGCUAACUACGUG